CGCGUUUACUAAUCGAUAUCCGACUUCUGAAGUGCCGCCGUAACUUUACCGUUAGCAAGUUUGCUAACGUGUGAAACGUAGCCUACCCAGCAAGCAGUAACGUCCUCAAGUUUCCUGCUGGAGUUGGGGCUGUCAAACCAUUCAAGUGGCCCAUGAUGACUGACUGAAAGGACAUUACGUGAAUUCACAAGUCAAAAUCAGAUAAACAAACAGGAACAUCAGCCUUCUUGGUGCCAGAUGGAAAUACUUGAGAAUAGCAAGAAAAACGGUUCAAGUAGGCCCGACAACAGAGAUCACAGACAACCACAAGAAGUGACCCCAGGAGGGCAACAGACCAUAUGUUGGCAGUUUUUGGAAGGCAGGUCCUA